GAGACGUUGCCCUUCGGGGUAUACCUCCCGCCCUUUGUUUAUUUAUACCUUUGUUGCUUUGGCAGACCCGGCUUCGGCCCACCGGCUGCGGCUGGUCAGUGUCUGCCAGAGGACAAAACUCUGUUUGUUAAUAUUGUCUGAGUACUAUAUAAUAGUUAAAACUUUCAACAACGGAUCUCUUGGUUCU
rnacentral:misc_RNA from 1 species